rnacentral:rRNA from 1 species
ACAGGUGAUAGAGUAACUGUCAUCAUCUUGACGGUAUCCAACCAGAAAGCCACGGCUAACUACGUGCCAGCAGCCGCGGUAAUACGUAGGUGGCAAGCGUUGUCCGGAUUUAUUGGGCGUAAAGCGAGCGCAGGCGGUUUUUUAGGUCUGAUGUGAAAGCCUUCGGCUUAACCGGAGAAGGGCAUCGGAAACCGGGAGACUUGAGUGCAGAAGAGGACAGUGGAACUCCAUGUGUAGCGGUGAAAUGCGUAGAUAUAUGGAAGAACACCAGUGGCGAAGGCGGCUGUCUGGUCUGUAACUGACGCUGAGGCUCGAAAGCAUGGGUAGCGAACAGGAUUAGAUACCCUGGUAGUCCAUGCCGUAAACGAUGAGUGCUAAGUGUUGGAGGGUUUCCGCCCUUCAGUGCUGCAGCUAACGCAUUAAGCACUCCGCCUGGGGAGUACGACCGCAAGGUUGAAACUCAAAGGAAUUGACGGGGGCCCGCACAAGCGGUGGAGCAUGUGGUUUAAUUCGAUGCUACGCGAAGAACCUUACCAGGUCUUGACAUCUUCUGCUAACCUAAGAGAUUAGGCGUUCCCUUCGGGGACGGAAUGACAGGUGGUGCAUGGUUGUCGUCAGCUCGUGUCGUGAGAUGUUGGGUUAAGUCCCGCAACGAGCGCAACCCUUAUUGUCAGUUGCCAGCAUUUAGUUGGGUACUCUGGCGAGACUGCUGGUGACAAACCGGAGGAAGGUGGGGAUGACGUCAAAUCAUCAUGCCCCUUAUGACCUGGGCUACACACGUGCUACAAUGGACGGUACAACGAGUCGCGAAACCGCGAGGUCAAGCUAAUCUCUUAAAGCCGUUCUCAGUUCGGAUUGCAGGCUGCAACUCGCCUGCAUGAAGUUGGAAUCGCUAGUAAUCGUGGAUCAGCAUGCCACGGUGAAUACGUUCCCGGGCCUUGUACACACCGCCCGUCACACCAUGAGAGUUUGUAACACCCAAAGCCGGUGAGGUAACCUUCGGGAACCAGCCGUCUAAGGUGGGACAGAUGAUUGGGGUGAAGUCGUAACAAGGUAGCCGUAUCGGAAGGUGCGGCUGGAUCACCUCCUUUCUAA